GCGCCGCUCUACUCCGGGGCUCCGCCGUGAGGACCCCUGCCCGUCUGGGCAACGUGCCGGCCGCCAGCCAAAGCCCUCCCCCUUUCCUUCUCCAGGGCAACGCGCUCAGUACAAUGCUGCUGCUGAAGACCCCCUUGGAGGGAGACAGAUCUUCUGUCCCAUCAUGGCCGGUGUGGGACAUUGUCAGUGGGGGUCCACUGCACCUGCAUGUUCUUGAAAGCCAGCACAGGCAGUUUGAGGAAGAGGCCCAGGAAGCCCUUGGCUCCAGGUUUCCAGCUGUGACCAUGGCAGUUUCAGCAAGAGUUGGCUACCGUAGGUAGGGGGUCUUCACUCGAAGGAGUGUGACCAGUGAUGACUCUGGAAUGCAAUCGCUGGGAUUGGAGGGAUCCAAGUUCCAGGAUCAUCAGGUGGCCUUGGGUCCGUGUAACAGUGAAUGCCCCGUGGCUUGCUGGGAGCUGAUGGGGACAGGAAGACUUCCAUAAAGAGCAAAGAACAGGGGUGGCUAUCAGACUGGGUCCAAAACAAUUGUGCAGUGGGUGGCAUUGGAAGAUGUGUGUGUAGAAGUGAGUGAAAGUAACCCGUUGCAGGCCAGAGCCAGGUGGUUUGACUGGCCCUGCUGGGAGAGGGAGCCAGAAACAGCCUCUGGCAGUGGGUUAAGGUGGGCUCUGGGCAUUGGACCUGGAACAAGGGCAUGAUGGUGAUGUGGGAGGUGGGGAGGGGACUGAAAUAAGAGUUGCCUGUGGUUCAGGAAGAGAAACUCCCAGGGUCUAAGUAGGCCUUGGUGAGCCAACAGCUGGUCCAGGAAUGCUGGGGAAGGCAAUAGCUUACUCAGUCACCCAAACCAAGAGUGGGCUAUAGUAAGUGGGAAGUCUAACUUGAGCCAAUUUUCUCCCCAAAACAAGCCUCCCGCUACCCUGGGAAGCAGUGGGUGACUGGGGCCAUUAGAGCCAACAGUGAGUUUCAAAUGAGGAAGGGGAGAGAGGGCAGGGGGUGGAGAUUUUUCCAAGGGAAUUAGGUAGACCCAUCCUUUUUUCAGGAAAGCAACCCCAGGCCCGGCAGGAGGUGGUUCUCCCUGAAGCCUGCAGUGCCACGUGUCCUCAAAGCAUGCGGGAGGUUGUGCAGGGUGAUGACCUCGGCUUGGCUGUGGCCCCUGCUAUGGUGAGCCAAGUUUCUAGGGAUGGGUGGGAAGAAAGGGAGAGAAAGGACUAGGGGCUGUCCCCACUCCUGCUCUGCCCAGAUGCCCCUGACUCAUUUCCACGGGCAAAAUGAGGGAAUUCAUUCCUGUUUCUCCUUGCAGCCAAGUCAAUUUUUAGUAUUUAUAUUUGGAUGAGCGUAUAGGGUGGUGGUCUCUUUCUUCCCCCCCGCCCCUGCCCCCACACACUUUGCCCAUAUUUUAAGGAAUGAAACAGUCCCU